rnacentral:rRNA from 1 species
UUGAAGAGUUUGAUCAUGGCUCAGAUUGAACGCUGGCGGCAGGCCUAACACAUGCAAGUCGAGCGGUAGCACAGAGAGCUUGCUCUCGGGUGACGAGCGGCGGACGGGUGAGUAAUGUCUGGGAAACUGCCUGAUGGAGGGGGAUAACUACUGGAAACGGUAGCUAAUACCGCAUAACGUCGCAAGACCAAAGUGGGGGACCUUCGGGCCUCAUGCCAUCAGAUGUGCCCAGAUGGGAUUAGCUAGUAGGUGGGGUAACGGCUCACCUAGGCGACGAUCCCUAGCUGGUCUGAGAGGAUGACCAGCCACACUGGAACUGAGACACGGUCCAGACUCCUACGGGAGGCAGCAGUGGGGAAUAUUGCACAAUGGGCGCAAGCCUGAUGCAGCCAUGCCGCGUGUGUGAAGAAGGCCUUCGGGUUGUAAAGCACUUUCAGCGGGGAGGAAGGCGUUAAGGUUAAUAACCUUGGCGAUUGACGUUACCCGCAGAAGAAGCACCGGCUAACUCCGUGCCAGCAGCCGCGGUAAUACGGAGGGUGCAAGCGUUAAUCGGAAUUACUGGGCGUAAAGCGCACGCAGGCGGUCUGUCAAGUCGGAUGUGAAAUCCCCGGGCUCAACCUGGGAACUGCAUUCGAAACUGGCAGGCUAGAGUCUUGUAGAGGGGGGUAGAAUUCCAGGUGUAGCGGUGAAAUGCGUAGAGAUCUGGAGGAAUACCGGUGGCGAAGGCGGCCCCCUGGACAAAGACUGACGCUCAGGUGCGAAAGCGUGGGGAGCAAACAGGAUUAGAUACCCUGGUAGUCCACGCCGUAAACGAUGUCGAUUUGGAGGUUGUGCCCUUGAGGCGUGGCUUCCGGAGCUAACGCGUUAAAUCGACCGCCUGGGGAGUACGGCCGCAAGGUUAAAACUCAAAUGAAUUGACGGGGGCCCGCACAAGCGGUGGAGCAUGUGGUUUAAUUCGAUGCAACGCGAAGAACCUUACCUGGUCUUGACAUCCACAGAACUUAGCAGAGAUGCUUUGGUGCCUUCGGGAACUGUGAGACAGGUGCUGCAUGGCUGUCGUCAGCUCGUGUUGUGAAAUGUUGGGUUAAGUCCCGCAACGAGCGCAACCCUUAUCCUUUGUUGCCAGCGGUCCGGCCGGGAACUCAAAGGAGACUGCCAGUGAUAAACUGGAGGAAGGUGGGGAUGACGUCAAGUCAUCAUGGCCCUUACGACCAGGGCUACACACGUGCUACAAUGGCAUAUACAAAGAGAAGCGACCUCGCGAGAGCAAGCGGACCUCAUAAAGUAUGUCGUAGUCCGGAUUGGAGUCUGCAACUCGACUCCAUGAAGUCGGAAUCGCUAGUAAUCGUAGAUCAGAAUGCUACGGUGAAUACGUUCCCGGGCCUUGUACACACCGCCCGUCACACCAUGGGAGUGGGUUGCAAAAGAAGUAGGUAGCUUAACCUUCGGGAGGGCGCUUACCACUUUGUGAUUCAUGACUGGGGUGAAGUCGUAACAAGGUAACCGUAGGGGAACCUGCGGUUGGAUCACCUCCUU